AUAAGAAGAAGAAAAAGCGAAAUAAAAAGAAGAGGGAAAAGCGUUUAUCUACUUGUACAGCAGACGAAUCUAAGAAAACUGAGUCGUCUUCCUCCCCAAUUGUAUCAGACGAGUUUGCGGCUGCUUUUUCUUCCUUGGCCAAGCUGUCUAAAAAAAUGGGCAUAAAAAAGUUUAAAGCAUCAGAUGACGAAGCUGAAAAAAUUGAGAAGAAAA
rnacentral:ribozyme from 1 species